AUAAUUCUGACAUUGUUAUCAAGGGUGAUAAAGCGAUGGAGGUAACACUUUUGAAGCCGAUUCAGUCAGUUUUCCCUAUUACUCAAUCCACCCCACUAACACUGUUGGAUUUAUCAAAUUGUAAUCAUUUAUAUGCUUCCGCUACAUUACCAGCGAAUAGAUGUUUCCACGUUGUCCCAAGAACAAAUGUAUGUUCUGCAGCCGAUUGACACGGCUGAUAUUGAAAACUUGAGGAAGAUGAUAAGAUUGGACUUGUAUACUGAGCAGAAAAUGGAAAUGAAGAGCGAAAGUAGAAAAUAGAUAACCUUGAAAAAGGAUGGAAGUCUAGAACUGGUAGAGAUGCCUUGGAACGAGACAGAAGGAUCGAAUAUUGACGAUGGUGUUUGAUUAACUGUGCAAAAAUCAAAGACACUUUAGUAUUACAUUUGGUUGCUUUAACUGUUGAAAAACUCAGUGUAAUAUACAGAAAUUUAUUAUAAUUCUAAUGUUAUAAAUGAAGUAACUUUAUUCGUCAUACUUGAAUUUCCGCAUGACACUCGCAAUGAUGUUUAUUUUGCUGAUCAAAGCUGUGUCAUGUUGACAAUACAUCGAUGUCAAUUGACUCACGGUUGGAAAAAUCGCAGUUUCGCUCUUUCAAUUUUAUUUAUAUUGCUAAUUGUUAUUCCUCUUAAUCGUAUAUUACUUCGUAAACAACCGUCGUUGUUUGAAUAAUGCAUACUUUCAUUAAUUGUAAUUUAAAGAAAAGAAUUAUAAUAAAAAAAUUUAUCCCACGGAAAAAA
rnacentral:lncRNA from 13 species